ensembl:lncRNA
CUUACAGUGUGGCCUAUUGAGGCCGCGUGCUUUGGCCUACAUCCUCAUUUCAUACGCUGUGAGGCUGUGUGAAAAGAUAAGGUGGUGUCUGUCUUUCUUGUGUCUCCAUUUUAUGGACUGCUGCAUCUCAAAUCUCCACGCGUCGGGAGAAACACACACAAAGAGGCCCACAUGUAUACAAGCGGGUUACCGCAGGCGGAAAAAACGAAAAGACAAGAGGCGCUGGGGGCGCGUGCAGCCGGUAUAGAUCGCUGGCCUCCAUAUUCGGUUGUGAUUUAUGAUCGCUCUUCAGCAGAGGCCACAGUCAUUUGGGAGAUGAUGGCCGUAUCGAUCCGGUAAACAGUUUCAUUUGCAGCCGGAGCCACGCCGCUCAAACUCACACGCGCGCUCACAGCCACAGCGCGAACGCACGCGUACAGUAGAUUCACAGCAGGAACAACCCUGGCUCUCCGCUCCACCAGUUCCCCACCUCCUCCACGUCUGCUUUUCUCUAUUCCUCUCCUCCUCCCCCCCCUCCCCAGGCCACCUCACCCUCUCUCGACGCUUUAACCCGUUCCUCUUCUGCCCUCCUUCUUUCCGCCAGCGUCCUCUGCCAGUCACCUGCUUCUCUAAAAAUAUUCUCCCCCAUGCACAGCGUGGCCUCUUUGUUUCUUCACUCCGUCCUAAGGUUCCCGUCAUGCGUUGAAACAGUGACACAUUAAUGGUGAGACUAUAACCGAAGUGGGUCGACAUCCACGGUCAUAGUUUUAAAGGCCGGUGAUGUCAGGUUUCUUCGGUUUCCCGGUAAGAUAAAGUGCUUGAAGAAUCCCCCCAACGAUGCACGGCCAGUAAACACGGCGCAAGGAGGGACUCAUGUGCAAAACAAUGCGGAAUUCAUUUCAUUUAAAAACUUUGAUCCUAAGAAGGACUUCAUCUUUUACUGUCCAUGCAAACGCUUCCUGCUUUCACCAAAAUAAAAGCACAUUUGCAUCGUGUUACUACAACGCAGGGGGAAUAGUGAGCUAUGGCGGCUGGUGCAGCAAUAGUCAGGAAAAAAGCCCAAAAGUCACUGAUUGUCACUGUAAAUUGCGGAUGCCAUUUCUAGCCACGUUAAUAAAGAGCUGGGCCGUUUCAUGUGUUAAAUAUCACACACUGUCCUUGUAGCAAUGAUGGACUGCCGUCAAAACAGCCUUUUUUUUAAUGGUACAUUAUAUUCUUUAGUUUGAUCUUUUAAUAACGAUGUCAGGAAUUAAUCCGGCAUUCGAAAGAAGAAUGUUUCCAGAGUUUGACUGCUGUUUAAUUGGUGUGAUGGGUCAAACCGCCUUAAUUAGCCCUUCUGGUAACUAUAAUUAGCAAAGAGUCAUAGUGUCUGAUGAAGCCCUCAAUGUUCAUUCAAAGGCCUCAAAAGAAUAACGGUGAACCGACUCGACAAACUUAUGCUUUUUUAGAAUAAAAAUGUCCAAAUCAAAAGAUGUAUUGAAUAUGAAUCAUAAACAUCUGUUGAACCCGACGUGUCCUUCUGUGUUUGUGUGUGUGUAAGUGUGUAUCAUUUGUAUACAGAUAACGUUGGAGGAGUAGAACUACACACACCAACAUAUUCCUACACACACAUGUACACUAGAAGGCUUUCAGUUUCUAAAUCAAUCCCACAUCCGUAGCUAAUGCAGUGCCGGGCCCUCUUCAGGAAGCAUUAGGCCUAUUAGUCAAAGUGCGUACGCAUUCCUGUGUGUGUGUAUGCGUGUGUGUAUGCUGGAGUGUGUGUGGAAGCCGCACACUCAGCAGUAGCCGAUCUCAGUGGAUCCUGUGGGGUCAGCAGGUGCAACAGGGAAUGAGGGACCAUCUUAUUGUGUACGUGUGUGUGUACGCGCGUGUGUGUGUGUGUGUGUGCGCGCGUGUGUGUUCCCUCCCCUUGAUAUCCGCUAGGCUCUUUAUCGCUCUAAAAUUAUCCUCCACUUACUGGAAGACACUGGGCGAACUGAGAGGAGAGAGAAAUAUGGCCACUCUAGUUUGAAUGCCUUCCUGGAUCACUUAUGCUCGCCAAACUAAGAGACAAACAGACUUCUUGCUCCGCCAGAAUGAUCUAAUUUAAUAAGUUCGGAAAGGUUAAGAAGUCAAGAGUCAGACGAGGCCUCGGGCGAACCGGAGGAGAUAUUUUAGAUUUGUGAAAAGCAAAACAUCUGGGUCGCUGGUGGGACAUCAUCAGUACCAAAGCUGAACUUAUAACAGGUUACGGCAUCGAAGGCUUCUUCGUGAAUCCCAUGUGGCCCCUUUUGUCAACUAUUAAACCAGAACUCAAAAUCAAUCAAUCAAUCAAUGGCAAUCCCAUAGAAUCAACAGCAGUCGAUGAAUCUUUUAAAUCUGGCUUAAGAAGCCCUUUGCACAAUAGUGAUUUUGUAGGAAUUUCUUUUAGUGGAAAGUUUAGGGUUUUAUGAAAGUUCUGUCCUGAGAGAAAUCUCCACCCAACCACAAGUUUCUACUUACUGUACUUUUUGCACGAGGAAUAUUUAUUUUAGAAGCUGGCGUCAGCCUUCAAAAACCCAUAAGCUUACAUCACUACACUCUUGAAUGACAUGCUUUCAUCUUACACAUGGCCCUCCAUUUUGCCUUUUAUCUCUUCCCACAUGGCCUCCUCCUCCUCCUGCUGCUGUUGCUCACUGUAUCUGUCCCCUGAGCAUUCUCACAUCGCGAGGUGGAUCAAGUCCCUGCAUCAUCGUGUGAACAUGCACGCUCACAGGGUACAUAGUUGCUCCAUGUAUAGAAUUACAUUUUGCAUUAAAAGCGAAAAGAUUCCAAAUUAGUCAUUAUUUCCAAAUAAACUCAAGUGUGUGUGCUCGGGAUGGAGGCCGGAGGGAAUAUCAGGGAAACCCAUAUAAAUAAAAGCCUUCACCAAUGCCACCAGUAAGUACUCAGAUAUGUGCAGACAGGCCCAGCUAACAGACCCGGAAAGAUGCUGAGGAUAGAAGUUGGGGUAGUGGAUGGAGAGAGUUGGUGGAAAAGUGAAACGGAGGAGAGGAAGGAGGAAACUAGAGGAGAAAGCGAGACGGUGAGGCUGGCCAUUAUAAAUCAUACCCGCUGUUGGCGCCGGCGACGUAUCCUAGCAACCAGACAGACCCAUACUCCUCCCCUCCAUCCCCUCUUCAUCCGACGCUCAGAGCUCGGUUACUUUUAUAACCCACGCUGCACUGGGCCAUGCCCCAAAAACUCAUGACAGAGUGCAGUUUGUGCUCACAGCUGAAUUCCUUAUCUACUGUAUUAACCCCGUGCUAAUCAAAUGUGACGCUAGCUGACCUCUGGGAGCAGACAAAUGGACACACUGCAGACCAGGUCACAAAUACACACAAGGAUAGAAAAUAUAGCAGGGACGUGUUCAGAGACUCUGCUCUGGCGCACCGCUCAGACACAAUGAUACAGCUGACAUAUAUCACUAUGAUACAACAUUCAUUGCGAUCAACUUUUUACUGAGUAUGCAACAGAUCCGGGACCUGUGAGGUGUGAACAAUUAGAAUAACGAUGCAUUGUUUGCAUUAAGCUCCUCGGCUCUUCACAGCGACAUUCUGUCGGAUGUCUACGGCUGCUGAGAAAAGGGCGUCCUGUGCGCGGAGAGACUCUCUCGGGCGGAACGGAGCAUUCGCUGAUGUUUUCUGUCCUUUUUUUCUGCCGUGACACGUCGGCGUGGCUGCUGUGACGAGGGGAUUUAUGUGACUACAAGAAAUGAUGCAAUGUUCACAAGGAGAGACGUCGAGCAAACUGCAACGUUGGGAGGUCACUUUCCACCCAGCUUAAAGGAACAGAGUGUAG